rnacentral:rRNA from 1 species
UACGUAGGGGGCGAGCGUUGUCCGGAAUCAUUGGGCGUAAAGCGCGUGUAGGCGGCCCGGCAAGUCCGCUGUGAAAGUCCAGGGCUCAACCCUGGGAUGCCGGUGGAUACUGUCGGGCUUGAGUCCGGAAGAGGCGAGUGGAAUUCCUGGUGUAGCGGUGAAAUGCGCAGAUAUCAGGAGGAACACCAAUGGCGAAGGCAGCUCGCUGGGACGUGACUGACGCUGAGACGCGAAAGCGUGGGGAGCAAACAGG